GCACUGAAGAUGCCAAGAUGGCUGCCAUUCAUGCACCCGAGGACA
rnacentral:tRNA from 1 species